GUCUAGAGGCCUAGGACACCGCCCUUUCACGGCGGCAACACGGGUUCGAAUCCCGUACGGGAUACCA
rnacentral:tRNA from 1 species